UUUUGCCGCGAACUCCCCCAUUGCACCAAACUUUUACUGACAAGGAAACUUAAGCUUUAACAGGAGAUCCUGUCACUUUACUUGCAGGCGAACAAAACAAAUACGGUGCACCAGAAGUGGCACGGUGGCUACAACACCGAAUUUAUGUAGUCUGGAUUUGUCUUCAACACUUCAGAGUGCAUGAAUGGUUCAGCACCUACAGCCUAAUUUCACACGAGGGAAGUGAUCUGUGUGUUUUAAUGUAGCAAGAGGCUACAAGUGAUAUGUUACAAUCCGACAGCCGUUUAGGAAAAGCAGGUCAACAGGUGGAAGGACGGCGAAGACAACAACCAGUAAGCCACAUCAUGGCGGAGCUUCCCACGACGGAGACUCACCACACCGUGUAGCUGCCUCAAGAAAAAAGAACAACUGAUUCAGACCAGAAACUGCUGUCGCAAAAUGGGAACUCAACUCGUCCACACCCCCUCAUGGAUUUACAAAGAAAAUUAUGGAGACUGGAGGGGGGAGGCCGCCUCUCCAGCUCGCAUGGGAGCUCACAGUUUGGAGGAGAGGGCCGAGGGGUGAGCCAGACCUGCGGCCCUCGUCUCCCCCGUCAUUGUUCCCCUCAUCCUCCCCCCACGAUGAACCAGACUCAUCGGCCUCCAUGGUCCACCGUUUCCUGUUACUUAGUUACCGGUUGCCAUGCUCUGCCUGGGCCGCUUGUGUUUCCAUGGCGACUGUGCCCGUUCUGUCGUCUCCUGGCUGCCUCUCGGCUGCGCUGUCCCGAUGGCCUGCAGCCACCCCGGGCCCUGACCCACAGCUCCCCGCCUCCCCACCUCAUGGUCCCAUAGUGCUGUCAGUGUGUGUUCGCGUCGCGCCGCAGCCUCCCCUCCAUUGGCAGGACUGGUAACACAACUUCUGGCUGCUCCGUGUGGUGGCUGACUGAACAGACAAAGAGGGAGUUGAUAUAAUAGAUGCUGAAUAUGCAGCCAGCAUGUUCCCUCUCAGCUUCACACAGCUUCAUCUCAUCACACAGCAAACGCCACAGCAGUGUAUGAGGAGAAAGAGUUCAUCCAAAAGCCAGAAAAAGAGCAAAAAAAACCCAGCAUAUUUGCCUGACCACAGUGUUGUAGGAGUUUCCAGUAUUGAUCUGUAAUAUCUAAAAAUUCUCUAA